UGGCGGAGAAUCACUGAGAGCUG
rnacentral:piRNA from 1 species